AACCCACGAGAGAUCACGUAACUAUCUUAACCACUGUUCCAUUGUGUGUGUCUCCAUAUCUCUGUGUGUCCGUUUUCAUUUGCGUCUUUGUGUGUGUCAGGUUGGGGGCCCUUCAUCGAGCCCUGGUCCUGUUUCAGUCUGCAGGGUGCCUCCAGCCAUCGCACCUCAAGAUGGGCAUCCACGCCAAGCAGACUGAACGUCAACAUCACCUCUGUUCUUUUGGAGCAGUACAGCCUCACCAAGAGCAUCUUGGCUGGCUGACGACUGCAAGAAAGAGGAGCAGCCUUCCCAACCCUCGGCAGCUCUAUCCUGGAUGGGCUCCUCAGUGGACCCCCCCGUGCUUCGGACAGAGUGAGUACUGUUCACACACACACACACGCAUCACUUGUUAUGAGCUGAAAAUAGCCUCUGUAGAAAAAGUAGAGCCCUCAUACUCAAUUGCUCCAGCACAUUACUGUAUUAGUUAGCGGGUAGUUACAAAAAUCAGAUUUAAUAUACGUUUGUUCUGGAGUAUAUGAUUGCGUGGUUCCCACUUUAUUCUAUUCUAACUUUUCGAUAGUGCCAGCAUUUCUUUGUAUUUCCAUUUGUAUCACGUCAUCUGGUGUGGAUUUUUUUGCUAUGCAACAAAGCUUUACACAGAUGCAUUGGAAACCUGCCUGAAUUAUCGCCGCCUUCGCAUGGUUAUUGCACAUUUGGAUUGUUUGACGAAAAUGAAAUUGUUGAGAAUGAAUGACUGUCUAUUUACACCGCUCCUUUGCCUUGUCAAAAUGGUGUAUUAAGAGUUAAGACCGGCUCAUGUUUUUGUUCAAUCAUUUUGGUAACUCUUUACUUUAUGGUCCUAGGCCUAUAUAGGUCUAUCGUGUAUAAAUUAUGCUCUCAGCUAACAGCUACGACAUUUGUUAUGGCCUUAUUAUGACAGUGUAGGCCUUAUGGCAGAGUGCUUCAAGUCAAAGUAAGAUUGCUGUUAAGAUGUUAUUUAGCUUAGAUCCAGGUAUUUUGCUUGGUAGUAAUGACCACAUAAUAUAAAAUAAAACACACUUGUCAUGGUUGGUAUUAAAACAUGUUUUUUUAGUACACCCUGACCUUUGCCCUCUUCUGACCCCUAGCACGUCUCUCCUCUCUGUGGUAACUGUCUCUCUCUGCUGUCAGGUGUCCCUCUUGACUACCACAGUCAGUUUGCCUUGCCUUGAGCAGCACAUUGACUCCAGAGGUACAGUCUAUAGAUCAGAGAGAGGGCAGCAGGUUGGCCUCCGCCAUAGAAAUAUAAUUACAAGAAUGGUAAUAAAUAAGUAGAAUGGGUGGACCGGUGGCCAGGAAGUAGUCGUAUUAUAUUUCUAUGGUAUCCACACCAUGGGUUUUCCCAUCUCAAUGCUUUUCCUUUAUCAUGUGUGUCAUUGCUAUCCUUACUUAAGCACAGCGUUAAUGCAACGUUAUCACAGUGUUUUGUGUAACACUAGUAUUUCACGAUCUUGUGACAAUAUUGGCAAAUUUGAUCCACUGUUAAACUGAAGUCCGUAUAAUCAGCAUCCACAGAGACAGUAUUUUAUUGACCCCCUUAGUUAGAACAGAGCUAUUGUGUCAGGUGGUGCCGGAGUCAUGUUAGAAAGAAAGAUCAUCUGUUUAUUCUCAGACUUUCCUUCUCUUUUCUUCUACUCUCUCUGUUUGUCAUGUUUCACGUCCCCCCCAUUCAAUGUCAAUCUAUAUGAAUCCAAUCCAUUGUGAUUAUCAUUGUUUACUAUCAUUAUUUACCCAGUUUAUGUUUGGAGCAAGGGUGAGCCUCCAUCUCUGAUCUAGGCACUGCUCUAUGCUAACUGGAGACCAAAACUGAACAUGCAAGUUGAGAUUGAGAGAACAAGAAAUGUAGGGAGUUGGAGAGGUUUAUCUUCUUGGUUGCAAAAAUACCAUGGACCAAAGAGUAGGAUUUAAGUGUGAAUAAAUAUUUCUGCUUUAUCCAUGUGAACCGCUUGGUGGCAGGUAUGGUCAUGUUGGUUGGCUAAACAGCAUGCCUCCAGCUGUACAACACAUAAUGGAAAACUAACAUUCGGAAAUACGGACAUUUGGCCUUGAUUAAUUAUGUUAGUAUAAUAGGGAUUGUUGUGCAUUCCAUAAAUGACAUGUUGAUGUGGAUAUCUGCAUAAAAACACAAAAACAUAAUGUCAUUGUGUUAUAUCAUUUGAAAUGCAAUAGAAGGAAUUCAAGUGAACACUACAUUAGUAGUUUUUCCUUUUUUUAUAUUUUGAAUUUCAGAGAGUCCAAUCUAUUGUUUAACAUAUAGGAAAGUGGAUGCAUGACAGUUUGAAGUUAUAGGCCCGGUAGUGAAGAAUACCUCUCUUUCCUCGUCUGCUUCGUAGUCAAUAACACAGGGUGUACUAUGUGGUUCGCCACCCUCACCACCAACCCUACAAGAUCAGUGGAGCAGUCUUCCCACUGAUAAUGUCAUAUUGCUGAGUCUACCAUUAAAAAUGUGCAGCCCAGGCAUCCUACAUCUGAUCGUUGCGCCUUCCUGAAUCAUUGCAUGUUGGUAACCAGAGUCCUCAGUUUCCCCACAGGGUGGCGCUGUCUCACAGUGUCAGUGCAGGCCCCAUAUCCCACGUGCACAGCUCUGUCAGAUGACAACCACAUCGUCAGCCAGUGGCAAGAGGUGCUGCCUGGAGAGGUGAUUUCCUUUUGAGUUUGAAGCUCGAGAAAAACUCAGGCAUAGACAUACUCACGAGCUGAAGCUGCUCCUGGUGCGGGUGGGGGGCUGGGAGCAAGUGAAACUCGUGUCCGUGGACAAAGUGGUCGUGUUCUAUCGCUACACCACCCCCGACCGCAAUAACCCUUCUUACACGGUUCUGCGUGGUGAUCAAGAAGGAGAACUACCUGGACCAGCAGCAUGCCAAGAUGGUGUCGGGUUUGGGCAGCGCUAAGCAGAUAUCCUGGCAGCUGGGCCACACCAUUUACCUGCUGCCCACACUGGUGCUGGCUAUCCUGAUGCCCAGCGACCUUAACUACUACAUCAAGGGUACCUCCAUCAAGGGCUCCCUGAAGCCAGGCAAGGAGGCCAUGCUGCACGCUGCAGACACCUCCCAGAACUUGGAGCUAGGUGGGCUGCCGGAGAACUUCCCUGUGUGUAAGGAGCUGCUUAUUCCCCCUGGUACCCAGAACUAUGUGGUGCUAUACAACGCCAACUAACGCUUGUUCUGUCUCACCAUCCACAUCACAGAAGGCGCUCAAGAUCCUCAUCUUAGCGCCUUAUUGGCUCUUCCACAAGACCGUUUGCAGAGUACUUGUCGGAUGGGUGGAGCAAGACCAUCAACAACUGACAUCAGAGCAAACAAGAGUACAUUCGUUACCAGGGAGCCACCAGCGGAGAGCAUCUGGUGGCCGGGAAUCAUGAAUUGGCUCAUGGUAUCAUCUGUGUUUUGACCAGCGUCAUCACGUCCACACUGGAGGGGGUGAAGACUGAGGGAAGGGUCAGUGGCUUCUUCUCAGGCUUGGGGAAAGGCCUGG